AAAAUGAGUUCCAUUCCAUCCAACGCAAUCCGUUUAUAUAUAUAACAGGGAAGGUUAGGGCAGGCUUCCGGACUUCCGCUGCGUCUGCGUAUGUUUCCAAUCCAGUUUACCAUGACGAAGGCGAAUUCGAACCCAUGGCAGCCGGCGGCGCUGGACGCCGAAUUCUCGCCGCAGGUGGCCGAGAUGCUCCGUGCGGACCAAGGCCGCAGGGAGCUGUCCUCCCGAGUACGCAGCAGAGACGAGGACCUCAGGACCGCGGUCAAGAAGCACCUGCUGGAGCUGGGGUGGACCAUCGUGUCCAUGCCCAACGCCGCCAUGCUUACCAGGCUCCGCUACAAGGCGCCAGGCGACGGCGGCAAGUCCUACUACUCCCUCCCGGACCUCGUCGUGGAUAGAGCCGCCGCCCCUCACCUCAUCGUCGAUAACGGUAGAGCCGCCGCGGAGGACGGCGACCCUCAGUUUCAACAGCAAUAUGAUAACGAACCUCCGUCUCCCCCGGCACAAACCAAGGACGACAGCAGCAGGGAGCAAGAAGAAGGCGACGAUGAGGAGGAAGACGACAGGGGCUGGGAGCAAGAAAAAGGCAACGAUGACGAAGACGACAGCAUCUGGGAGCAAGAAGAAGGCGACGAUGAGGAGGAAGACGACAGGGACUGGGAGCAAGAAGAAGGCGAUGAUGAGGAAGACGACAGCAGCAGGGAGCAAGAAGAAGGCGACGAUGAGGAGGAAGACGACAGGGACUGGGAGCAAGAUGAAGGCGGCGAUGAGGCGGAGGACGGAGACCAGAAGAAGGACGCCGCCAUUGCCGAGUACAUCGCGCUCAUGGCGACAAACUUUCGGGCCAGUGUACCUAGGGCGUGUUGAAUAAUUAGACAAAUUCCAAAUUAAAUUCCGAAUAUAAAUCAUGACCAAAUCAGAAGAACUGAAAUAAAAGCCAAAUCAGAUGAUGCGUACUGAUUAGACUUACUGAUUGUUGGCGCGCGCCAGGAUCAGCUGGGUCGACGAGGUCAGCAGAUCACGAGCAGUCGCGU
rnacentral:misc_RNA from 1 species